UUAGGUUGGUACAAAAGUAAUUGUGGUUUUUGCCAUUGAAAGUAAUGGUGCACCACAGUUACUCUUGCACCAAC
rnacentral:miRNA from 1 species